AUUGAACGCUGGCGGCAGGCCUAACACAUGCAAGUCGAACGAGUGGCGGACGGGUGAGUAAUGUCUGGGAAACUGCCUGAUGGAGGGGGAGAACUACUGGAAACGGUAGCUAAUACCGCAUACCAUCAGAUGUGCCCAGAUGGGAUUAGCUUGUUGGUGGGGUAACGGCUCACCAAGGCUACGAUCCCUAGCUGGUCUGAGAGGAUGACCAGCCAAACUGGAACUGGGACACGGUCAAGACUCCGAAGGGAGGCAGCAGUGGGGAAUAUUGAACAAGGGGUGCAAGCCUGAUGCAGCAAUGCGGCGUGUAUGAAGAAGGCCUUCGGGUUGUAAAGUACUGUGAGCGGGGAGGCGUUACCCGCACAAGAAGCACCGGCUAACUCCGUGCCAGCAGCCGCGGUAAUUC
rnacentral:rRNA from 1 species